UACGUAGGGUGCGAGCGUUGUCCGGAAUUAUUGGGCGUAAAGAGCUUGUAGGCGGUUUGUCGCGUCUGCUGUGAAAAUCCGGGGCUCAACCCCGGACUUGCAGUGGGUACGGGCAGACUGGAGUGUGGUAGGGGAGACUGGAAUUCCUGGUGUAGCGGUGGAAUGCGCAGAUAUCAGGAGGAACACCGGUGGCGAAGGCGGAUCUCUGGGCCGAUACUGACGCUGAGGAGCGAAAGCGUGGGGAGCGAACAGG
rnacentral:rRNA from 1 species